UUAUGGGCCCUAAAGCACCUUGACCAUCACUGUGGCCGUCUGUAACAUGAUCUGGAACAUCUCUCCAUCUCAUUCUCCAUCUGGCUCUCUCUUUUAUCUAGUUUUUUUUCUUUCUCACCAUUCACUGAUUCUGUUUUCUCUCUGCUGCUCUAUCACUCAGUGUCGCUCUCCUCCAGUUUACUUGCUGAUGCUGAUUGCCUCUGUAAUGUACUGAAAAUGUCCUGGGUGGCUAUUCAGAGCAGAUUGCUUUGUGUUGUGUUGCUGUAGGGCCCCUACCAACUGAACCAGGGAGGCAGGCUGAGACCUCCAUAGUUUGGGAGGAAAUAAUGACGGCGCCUGCUAAUGGGCACACUGUUAGGCUCCACUGUUAGGCUCCCGUUUUUUGCUGUUACAGCACAGAAAUAGCUGUGGCAUGUUAGUGUAAUGUGUUCAGUGCUGUGCAGAUGAAGCCCCUCAGUAUAAACUCACCUCCAAUCUUAAAUCAUGAGUGAAAAGAAUACUAAAAUACUGUACUCAAGUAAAAGUGAAUGUGAGAUACUUAGGGAGUAGGUCGGUUAAAAUGUACUAACUAAGUAAAUAUUACUUAUUCACAUUUUUAAAAGGCAAAGUUAUAUGAUGAAAAUAAAAUAAAUUAAAGUAACUGACAAUAAAUAUACAGUCUACAGACACCACGGCAGGUGACACAAACAUUAUUUAGCCACAAAAAAUGAAAUAUCCUGGCACUUCUUACUGUAUCAGCAGCAGAAUAACAACAUCACCAGAACAGACAACACAGAGAUGUAGAACAGUAUACACUGCACACACUACGUAAUGCACCAACAUACAAUGCAGCGUUGCUAGGCAACACAGUGGUUGUUGAAACUCUCAUCUGUACAGUGAGUUACAGUAAUACUCACCUGUCUGAAUGUCAUACUGUCUCAUCUUUCAGUCCACUCUGUCCCAUUGCAGCCAGUCCACCCAACCUCUGUCCCACUGUAACCAGUCCAGUCUGUCCCACUUUAACCAGUCCACCCAACCUCUGUCCCGCUGUAACCAGUCCAAUCUGUCCCACUUUAACCAGUCCACCCAACCUCUGUCCCACUGUAACCAGUCCAGUCUGUCCCACUUUAACCAGUCCACCCAACCUCUGUCCCACUGUAACCAGUCCAGUCUGUCCCACUUUAACCAGUCCACCCAACCUCUGUCCCACUGUAACCAGUCCAGUCUGUCCCACUUUAACCAGUCCACCCAACCUCUGUCCCACUGUAACCAGUCCAGUCUGUCCUACUUUAACCAGUCCACUCAGCCUCUGUCCCGCUGUAACCAGUCCAGUCUGUCCUACUUUAACCAGUCCCCUCAGCCUCUGUCCCACUGUAACCAGUCCAGUGUGUCCCACUGUAACCAGUCCAAUCUGUCCCACUUUAACCAGUCCACCCAACCUCUGUCCCACUGUAACCAGUCCAAUCUGUCCCACUUUAACCAGUCCACUCAGCCUCUGUCCAACUGUAAUCAGUCCAGUCUGUCCCACUUUAACCAGUCCACUCAGCCUCUGUCCAACUGUAACCAGUCCAGUCUGUCCCAAUGUAACCAUUCCUCUUAAUGGAUGCUUAAUUGAACUGGAGGAGAUAAAAAAUACUUUAGUAGAAGUAAAAUUAGAGUUUUGUUUUUAAUGUUCAAAAAAUACAAGUUCACAAAAAAUAAUUUUGUUACUGCAGGGAAAGUAAGUAUAAGUGGUUUCCUCCCUGGUUAAAAUACAUCUUCUGUACCAUCACAUCUGAAGCUUAGUAAGUAAUAAUCUAGUAAGGAGUCUGGGAUUCUGCUGUAUUUAUCAGGCUUCUCAGAGCAGGAAAUCAGUCCUAAGUGGCCAGACAUUCUCACAGUGACACAUCUGCUCGUAUGUGUCAUGUCAGAAGUUUCCAGGAGACAUUGUUCAUUUUGGCAAAAAUGAGACUGACCUUGUGCAAGAUGUGGAGAAUACAUGUCCUCCAAGUUUUGCACUUUAUUGUACCAGAGAAAAUGUCGCUGUGCAACAGUGAUGACUCUGUUGCAGCCAAUGACUUCGGCAGUCAUAAAUCAAACAUUUAUCGUGCACAUCAUAAAGAUAAUGCUCACAGUGAGGAUCCUCAGCGACAGCAAAAUAAAACUUACCGAAACACAGUCAUGUCCUCCUGGCUGGAUGACAGCUGCAUAAUGAAAGAUCUCUCAGUUUAGUUACAACAGGUGAAAUAUUUUUAUGAGGCCUUAUAUCCUGUUAUUAUUAAAUAAACUAAAUUAGGUUAUUUUAGAUAAUAAUGAGGUUAUAAUGUCAGGGAUAAUAGGAUGCAUUGUAACAGUGUGUUCAUAUUGUUACAAUGCAUUUCCCAAGCUGGUGUGACAUACAGAAAUAACACAUUUGGGUCUCUUGUGGGGCACCGAAGUUAACAGGGGGUGUUGGGGGAAUAGGAUCCGGAUGAGGAGAUUGCAUGUUGUUCAAGUUACAGCACUGUUCUAACUGUGGUUGUAUGGGGCAGAUUUUCAUUUUCUCAGUCCACUAUAUAAUAUCCUGUUUAUGUAAAACCUAUACAUAUUAAAGUUAGUUCACACUGAAGAUUCCAGUGCUGUCCAAAAUUUUAAACUGCAGCUGUCAGAGAACGUCUCUCCUACAGUAGUGGGAGUCCUUGCUAAAUGUAAGUUCUAGCUGAACGUAUGCUGGACUACGUGUCUCUGAUGUUUUAAGCUGCAAGCUGAACUGACACCACCUGCUGAAUGCUAAAUACAGAUGCAAAUGAUGCAGCAAAAGACCUGAAGAACACCAGCAGCUACUGAAGACCCCUAACAGUCAUUUAUCUGAAAGCAGUCAUUUCAGACCCAAGACCAGUUAACCCGGGUGGCUGGUGCAAUUGGAGAUGGACUCUAUGUCCCCACUUGGAAAACAGCUGGAGUGUGUGUGUGUGUGUGUGUGUUGUCAAGUGAGAGAGAGAGUGAGAGUGAUUGUGUUCUCUAACUUUCAUGUGCUUUUAAAAGCACAGCUGUUUUAGUCUGGGCCAAGACAUCGUCAGAUUAACUGAAUCUUUUUAUGCACUCGCUCCAUAUUUAUUCUAGAUAUGGGUCAGACUGCCUCUUUUUAUAUACUGUUCUCAUUACAAUUUUGGGUCACUCAGCUUUUUACACUGAGAGCCUUGUAAAUAAAUCAUAUGUCCCUUAUCAGCUUCAGAGUGUUGGUCAUCUGUUAGUAUCUGUGGGCUGUGUGAAUUGUGCUUCAUAUUGAAUUAUACAGGGAGCUGUUCCCUUAAACAAAGUAACACGCACAGGCCAUAUUGUGUAUAAAAUAUCACAGAAUGUGUCUCUUCAAAUGAGUCAGAAUUUUCAGCGGACACCGCUGUGCCAGGCCGUUCCCAGAGAGGGGACCGGAAAAGAAGGGCAGGAGGGAAAGGGGCUGACUCUGCAGGGAUGGUGGCCAAGAAUAGAAGCAGUCAGGUGGGGCAGUAUUGAUCAGCAGGAGGGUCAGAGGAUGAGCUGGUGGACACCACAGACGCAUCCAACGUCAGAGGGACGUAUACAGUGUAGGACACUGGGCAAAUAUUGUAGAUACAGUAUGAACAGACUGUGACAUUUGGGGAAGGAGGGCAGAUUAUGACGUGGUGCACUCAGUACAACACUCUGCUUAAGUCACACACACAAGGUCCUUCAUAACUGAGGCCAAGUAAAAGCCAGAAAUACUUUAAUCAGGGUUUGGUUUUUUUUUGCUCUAACUGAGCAUUUUUAUCCCCAACAAGGUUUGUUUGGCUGUUUGUCAGUUGUUUGUCAUUACAGAAAAACUAGAGGAACAAUAUUCAUGAAACCUGAUGGAAGGGUGUAAUGGGUCAAGGAGGAACCCAAACAAAGAAAUAAAGACACUUUUGGUGAGUCUUGAUAAAGACAAAAAAGUGAUUUCAAAGAGAAGCAGACAGACGCGUCUUCAAUAUGUGUUUGAAGAAUAUAUCCUCACUCAGCAGGUUAAAAUCUGAAGCCUACAGAUCACAGUGAAAAGGUGAUUUCACCUGAUGAUCCAAACAGAAGAAUAAUAAAAAUAUACUGGCUUUAAA